rnacentral:rRNA from 1 species
AUUGAACGCUGGCGGCAGGCCUAACACAUGCAAGUCGAACGGUAACAGGAAGCAGCUUGCUGCUUCGCUGACGAGUGGCGGACGGGUGAGUAAUGUCUGGGAAGCUGCCUGAUGGAGGGGAUAACUACUGGAAACGGUAGCUAAUACCGCAUAAAUGUCGCAAGACCAAAAGAGGGGGGACCCUUUCGGGCCUCUUGCCAUCGGAUGUGCCCAGAUGGGAUUAGCUUGUUGGUGGGGUAACGGCUCACCAAGGCGACGAUCCCUAGCUGGUCUGAGAGGAUGACCAGCCACACUGGAACUGAGACACGGUCCAGACUCCUACGGGAGGCAGCAGUGGGGAAUAUUGCACAAAUGGGCGCAAGCCUGAUGCAGCCAUGCCGCGUGUAUGAAGAAGG